rnacentral:misc_RNA from 1 species
GGAAAAAGUCGUAACAAGGUCUCCGUAGGUGAACCUGCGGAGGGAUCAUUACAGAGUUCAUGCCCUACCGGGUAGAUCUCCCACCCUAUGUUAUUAUUACUUUGCUGCUUUGGCGGGCCGUUAGGCUCCGGCCCGACUACCGGCCCCGGCUGGUAAGCGCCCGCCAGAGGACCCAAAACCCUGAAUAUUAGUGUCGUCUGAGUACUAUAUAAUAGUUAAAACUUUCAACAACGGAUCUCUUGGUUCUG